GCCCCGCCCCCUGACGGUCCAGGGAUUCCUUCGGCCCCGCCUCCAGGCCUCACUCGGCUCCUGGCCCCACCCGUGCGUGGUGCCCUCGGGAAUCCUCGGCUGGAGGGACUCGCUCUUCCGCCGAGCCCGGUCGGGGCAGAGCCCGGCCUGCAGCUGCGAGGACCGGAGCGGCGGGAGGUGACGCCCCUGUUCUGGAGCCGGGAUUCGCGGCCAUGACAGUGUCGGCCCGCGCCUUCUGGCUGCUCCGCGGCCGCCUUGGCCGAGUGUCGGCGUUGGGCCGGAGCGCGGCGUCGCUCUUGGCGGCGCCGGGAACGGCCGGGCGCGCGUUCCGGGGCUUUCGGAGCAGCGGCUUGAGACAUGACGCAAUUAUUAUCUCAGGAACUGAAAUGGCCAAACAAAUCCAGAAAGAAAUACAGCGAGGUGUGGAAUCUUGGAUUUCUCUUGGGAAUGGAAGACCUCACCUCAGUAUCAUUUUAGUGGGUGAUAACCCAGCAAGCCACACAUACGUCAGGAAGAAGAUCAAAGCUGCUGCUGCCGUAGGUAUCUGUAGUGAGAUCAUUCUAAAACCUAAGGAUGUUUCUCAGGAAGAACUUUUGGAUAUAACCAAUCAAUUGAACAUGGACCCAAGAGUCAGUGGUAUAUUAGUUCAGUUGCCACUGCCAGACCAUGUGGAUGAGCGGACAGUAUGCAAUGGAAUUGCCCCGGAAAAAGACGUAGAUGGAUUUCAUAUUAUUAACAUUGGAAGACUAUGCCUGGAUCAGCAUUCUCUCAUACCUGCCACUGCUAGUGCUGUUUGGGAAAUUAUCAAACGAACAGGAAUUGAAACAUUUGGAAAAAAUGUGGUUGUGGCUGGAAGAUCCAAGAAUGCAGGGAUGCCCAUCGCCAUGCUCUUACACACUGAUGGAGAGCACGAACGGCCAGGAGGUGAUGCAACUGUGACAAUAGCUCACAGAUAUACUCCCAAAGAACAACUGAAGAUCCAUACUCUGCUGGCAGAUGUUAUCGUAGUAGCUGCAGCCUCACCUCUGACUCAUCAUUGUGAAACCAAGAAAUCAUUUAGCCUCUCAGCACCUCAGAAUCUCCCUUCUGUGAACGAGGAUAAUGGGUAUUCCAAAGUUGAUUACAUCUGAUAUGGUUAAAGAAGGUGCUGCUGUAAUUGAUGUGGGUAUCAACUAUGUCCAUGACCCAAUGACAGGAAAGACAAAAUUAGUUGGAGACGUGGACUUUGAAGCUGUUAAGAAGAAGGCUAGCUUUAUCACUCCAGUUCCAGGAGGCGUGGGACCCAUGACAGUGGCAAUGCUUCUCAAGAACACCCUUCUGGCAGCUAAAAAAAUCAUUUACUAGAUCACAUGAAAGAAUAAAGCAAACUGAAGUCAUGCUACGUAUCUAUUUGACAAAAGGCAAAAACCUUUAUAUUUUACUACAAAGCUAUUUCUACAUUGUAUUUAUUUUUUCACAGAUGGAAUCACUGUGGAUCAGAUGAUUCACACAAUCUUAUGCAUUUCCUGCUAAUAAUUACUGAAUAUUUUGAGUGGAUAUUGAGUUUUAGGAAAAGAAAACAAAACAACUGCGAUGAAAACUUUGGUAACAAUUGUUUAUUUUGUGAUUAAUAUUUGUUCAUAACGUUAAAACUAAUAAAGGGCUCAUAAUAAAUGCAUAUAUUUUUGACACAAAUAGUGUGUUUUCAACAAACAUUUUGUCAGACAAAUAAGCUCCCUUGUAAAAUGUGAUUUAGGUUUUGCCAUAAUUAUGGCCAAUUUUUAUAUAUUUUAUGUACUAUAUCAUAUGAUGAAAAAGAGUUUAUUUGCUAAAGGAAAGAUAAAAUAUUAAAAAUAAUAUUUUGAUCUCAUAUACUUCCCAAAUGCAUCCAACGAGGCAUACUAAUGAGAAAUGAUGCUCCAUUCGAAGAAAGAAAAACAUGCAAGGAAGGCAAAAAAUGCAGUGCUACUUGGAAAGGUAUUGAUUAUUUCAAAUGGUGAAUUACUACUUGCCAAGUAAAAAUGCAAUAAGAAUGUGUUAGGUUUACAUGCAAUUCCUUUGUUCUUCUAGAAAAAUAUUUGGAUAAUACCUUCCUUGAAGAAUAAUGGAAACUCCAAAACCAAACAAAUAUACAAAACAAAACUAAGGUUGUAUUUUCCCACAAAUAUCAGGAAAACACAAUAUAGUAUGAAUGAGGACUUCAUUAAAGAAUAGAAGUUAUGUUUGUUCACAAAUCUAGAAAUCUAAUAGAAAAAUAUGACACAAUGUGCCCAAGCUAAGCCUUAGGAUAUGACUAAAAAUCUAUUGCUUUGUUACUCACAGUUCUUCCUUCUUCUCUUAUAGCAUUUGGUUCUCAAAGUAGAUGCCAUGUUUCUAACACAAUUUAAAUUAGAAAAAAACAUGUGACUGUCCGUUGGAGGCUAUUUUGAGACUACCCUGGGCAUAUAAUUGUAUUGUUUUCAGGCCCAAAUCCCAGUCUGUUUAUGUACCAGUAAUGAUUCUUACCCAAUGCAUGUCGUUAUUAGUGUAUACUCUUGAUCAUUUGUGUGAAAAUAGACUAGAUGUUUAUAAUUAAUAUUUCAACUGUAUAAUAAAACCAGUUUGGAAAGGAAUACCUGUCUUCUUUUUCUUUAAGCUAUCUGUAAGUUUCUUUGUUCAUAUAUUUGUUAUCUGUUUCUCAGAGCAUGCUGGGGAAAUGUACAAGUUCCUCAAACAUGAAAGAAAAGGUUCUAUAGCCCAUUCCAGAUCAGUCUUUGUCUAAUAACCCUGAUAAAAGUUUAAAUUUAAAGCUCCCAAGCAAACAUUUCAGAAAGACCCUCUUUUUAAUAUUUAAGUGCCCCAUGUUCGCAAAACAAACAUAAUGACCCAAAAUACAUUUACAUGGAAAAGGUGAAGUCUGUAAUUCUGAGCUUCCUCCUCCCCCACCCCCAAAUGCAGGAGGAGUUAUUUUUUGGAAAUAUUUUUCCCCUUUGGUGAGGCUAAAAUUCAGGAGUGAGCCUUUCCAGAGACCAAUUAAAACACUAUAAAGGAAAAAUUAUCUAACAUUUGUUAAAAAUAUAAGGACAACUUUAUUCAGGACUAUUGCAAUGGGGUCGAGACUAUCACAAUAGAAGAGAUUGAAAACUCUAAAUAUAGCUGAGACAGCAAUGGAUUUAUAGGCAAUGAAGAGAGUGAGGGGAUCAGUAGAUGGAAAAUUACUGAGAGGAACUUGAUUAGAUAACAAGACUAGAGGGAUUCUUGUAAACUAGCUUACCAGGAUUCUUGUUACAGUUAGGCCAGAUAUCAAGGGGGGAGAUAGGGAACUUGAUCAGAUAUGGCAGGGACAAGGGUGCAAGGAGCAGGGCAGGGGGAUUCUCCAGAAACUAAGAAGAUUUCUUUGCUAAAACUGGGCUCAACAGGCUAAGUUGAUGCCUAGUUGAGAAAAGGAGUAGGAGAAGUCUAAAGUUUGGUCAAGAAGGGAGCCUUUGUCAACACAUAAAGGAAAUAAAGUUGGUUCAUUGUUAUCAUGACUUUACUUAUGCAUAUUUGGGGUCUAUAAAAGACAUAUGAUUGUCUUGUGGAGGAGGUUUGGAGAAGUAAGUUCUCUUCUACACGUAUCUGUAAAAAGGACCCCGAAGAAUUAAUGAGGAUUGAAAAAUAACAUAAAGAUAUGGAGGUGAGAAUGAGCUUAGCAUAUAUAUAUAUAUAUGAAAGCAAGGGCUACAGUCAGACUGAAAUGAAAAGUGUUUGUUGCAGAGUGGUGGAAAUACAGCUGGAAAACAGCAGAAGUAGAUUAGAGAAAGCCUGGAUAAAUCAGAAUUUAGACGAUAUUUAGUCAGUGAUGAGAGUUGUAGUUAAAGCCUAGAAGACGUUAUCACUGAUUAUCAUGAGGAAGUUGUAAAGAGGAGCUUAUUUUGGAGAAGAGAUAAUAUGUUCAGUUUGACAUGUUGAGUUUGAGGUGAUGAUGGCAUAAUACAUAAAUAAAAGUCCUGACAUAGUAUCAGUCUGGUAUGAGAAUAAUUCAUGGCUAAUGAUGAAAACUUAAGAUGCAUCAACAUGUGUUAACCGCUAAAUUCCUAACCUUGAUUGACCACUAUAUACACCCUGCAUCUUUCUACACUUGUUUGAUAGUAACAGCUAUCUUUAAUUGAGCACCUAUCAUGUGCUAAAUGCUCUACUUUUUUGUUAUUGUUGUUACUGACGAUCCACAUUUGAUAUAUGAGGAAAUCAACCCUUGAGGUUAUUAAAAAGUCUCAGCAAAGGCCAAAUGGAUAGCAAAGGUAGAACUGGAAUUCAAAGAAAGGUCUGUUAGGAUGAUGUGAACUGGAACCCACUCUCUUUUCAUUCUAUCACUCUACCUCCCCUCAGUGCCCACCUCCCCUGCCACCUAGAAUCCUUUCUCUUAUCACUGUAUGUCUAAAUUCUACUUGCUAUUUAAGAUUCACUUCAAAUGAAACUCAUCCAUGAGAAAUGCUGUGAGAGUUUGACCAAGUCCCACCCCUGAACUCUUAUACACAUUUAUGUACACAUUCAUGGCAGUCAUCCGUCUCUACCCAGCACUGUAGUUAUGUAUGUACUUUCCUUAGCCCCCUCUAGUUCUUUGAGGUCAGAGUCUAUGCAGGACUUUUCUAUUUGUCUUACAAACAUUACAUGUUACAGGCAUAAAAUGGUUUAUGAAUGGAUGAAAGGCAACUGAAUUCAUGAGAAUUACAGAAUAAGUUUAGAGAGAGAUAAGCAAUGGGCUGAUGACCAUUUCCUGCCAAUGUCCAGCAACAAAUUUUGGCUAUUAGUGAAAGAGCAAGAAAGAAAAAGGGGGCUUCCCUGGUGGCGCAGUGGUUAAGAAUCCGCCUGCCAAUGCAGGGGACACGGGUUCAGGCCCUGAUCCGGGAAGAUCCCACAUGCUGCAGAGCAGCUAACCCUGUGCAUCACAACUACUGAGCCUGCACUCUAGAGCCCGAGAGGCACAACUACUAAGCCCACGUGCCACAACUACUGAAGCCCAUGCGCCCCAGAGCCCAUGCUCUGUAACAAGAAAAGCCACCACAAUGAGAAGCCUGCGCACCACAAGGAAGAGUAGCCCCCGCUCGCUGCAACUAGAGAAAGCCUGCGCACAGCAACAAAGACCCAAUGCAGCCAAAAAUAAAAUAAAUAAAUUAAAUAAGUAAAAAAAAAAAAGAAAAGAAAAAAGGAAGGAAAAGAGAGGAGAGAUGAAGAAAGGAAAGGAGGGGAAAGAAAGGGAAAGUAGGAGAAGGGAAGGAAAAAAUAAAUUUAACAGCAAGGGAAGGGAAGAGAAGACACUUCCAGAGAUGCUUAUAACUAUAGAGAGAUGAAUAAAUUAAAAAGAUGAAAAAUGGUCGGAGGGAAAAAUGAUAGUGGGGUGCUGCAGCUCUUAGCCUUCUUUUUGACUCUAACAUGUAUCAAGAAUGAAUACGAGUAUCCGUGAGGCCAUGUUACAGUA